UGUAGUAAAAAGUCCCGGUUUCUCUUGGCUUCGAGCAAAUUAUCAACUGCACUAAAACCACAUUUGACCAAAUAAGACGAAGGGAAAGGAAUCAGUAGCUCUCUCGCUGAUGUAGAAAUUUUAGGAUAUUUUCUUUCAACCUCGUCAUAUAGCCACAUCUUUGUACCUUUCAAUUUAAACAAAGUCUUCACUGAUUCAUCAUGUUGUAAUUCUGAUAACUCUUCUUGGUAUUGGAUUGUAGCAUCAGAAACGUUAAUCAGAAGCGGUUGAGUUAACCAAGAAGGAAAAUUCAUUGCCUUUAAAUCGCAAAAUCUGUCAUUGAAAUCCUUUAU